rnacentral:misc_RNA from 1 species
GAUGAAGAACGCAGCGAAAUGCGAUAAUUAAUGUGAAUUGCAGAAUUCCGUGAAUCAUCGAGUUUUUGAACGCAUAUUGCGCCCCUUGGUAUUCCUAGGGGCAUUCCUGUCCGAGCGUCAUUGCAACCCUUCAAGCACGGCUUGUGUGUUGGACGGCCGCCCCAGUGUGGGCGGGUCCCAAAUGCAGUGGCGGCGCCGCGAUCCGGGUGCUCGAGUGCAUGGAAACCACGCGCUCGUUAGGCCCCGUCGGGCGCCGGCCGACCUAAUUAUCUUCGUUCUGGUUGACCUCGGAUCAGGUAGGAAUACCCGCUGAACUUAAGCAUAUCAAUAAGCGGAGGA